GAGACCAGCCUGGGCAACAUGGUGAAAUCCCGUAUCUAUAAAAAAAAUUGUUUUUAGUUAGCCUGGUGUGCUGGCACAUGUCUGUGGUCCCAACUAUUCAAGAGGCUGAGGCAGGAGGAUUGCUACUGUCUUGAAGCCUCAGUGUAUGCACUUCACCCCAGUCGUCUUGUACUGCCUGCCCUGGUUAUGAUGGGUGAGCUGGGAAAGAAAUGUCUGGUGGAGGCUCCAAGGUGGGCAUGAGGCUGAAUGGUCAGCCGCCAGUCCUCGUCUGAAACCCAGGGCAGCUCAGUACUACACGUGACCCAUUACAUUAACUCACUUUCCUCUGCUUCUAUUCUGUCUCAUGCUUCAGUUUUU
rnacentral:lncRNA from 1 species